rnacentral:lncRNA from 1 species
UAUUUCUGGUUAUAGAAACAAAUGCUAAGAGGAAAGACAAAACUUCCCCGUCCACAUACAACAAUUUAAUAGAUAAAAGAACAGUUAAAUGAAAAAAAAAAGGUAGAAAUUUUAAACUUUGUUAUAGCUUUAAAACAUUAACGUCUGGUACAAUUAGAAAUCACAUUCAGAUCUCAAACUUUUUUUUUUAAAAAGUAUGGCUCCUUAUUAAAAAAAAAAAUACUGUAUCCCAUUUGAAAUGAAAACGCAGGCUGGCCUAGCUAAGGUGGGUCCCCCCUACUUGCACCCCUCCCCCCGCCCUGCCCAGGUGCUGGGGUGUAUGUGUCCCUCUGGGACUCUUGACUUCUAACUCAGGACUCUGUGACUCUUUCACUCCGAAGGACAUCUAAGGAGCCCUCGCUGGGGGCUCCAGUCUGAGGCCCCACACCUAGUCCAGGGGCGCCUGG